AACGAACGCUGGCGGCGUGCCUAACACAUGCAAGUCGAGCGGGAAAGUUCCCUUCGGGGAGCGAGUACAGCGGCGAACGGGUGAGUAACACGUAGGUAACCUACCCUGGAGACUGGGAUAACCUGCCGAAAGGCGGGCUAAUACUAGAUAAGACCACGAGAGCUGCGGCUCUUGAGGUAAAAGGUGGCCUCUACUUGUAAGCUACCACUCCGGGAUGGGCCUGCGCGCCAUUAGCUAGUUGGGGAGGUAACGGCUCACCAAGGCUGAGAUGGCUAGCUGGUCUGAGGGGAUGGCCAGCCACACUGGGACUGAGACUCGGCCCAGACUCCUACGGGAGGCAGCAGUGGGGAAUCUUGCGCAAUGGGCGAAAGCCUGACGCAGCGACGCCGCGUGGGUGAUGAAGGCCUUCGGGUCGUAAAGCCCUGUCAAGAGGGACGAAACCUCGCCGACCUAACACGUCGGCGACCUGACGGUACCUCUGAAGGAAGCACCGGCUAACUCCGUGCCAGCAGCCG
rnacentral:rRNA from 1 species